AGUCAUAUGCUACAGUAUUUACUGCCCUUUUUAUUUAAUUGAAUCUGUGUGAUUUUUCUCUUUCAGGGGGAUAUUUUCGUGACAAAGGGCACGUUUGGGCAGCUGACGUGCGAGUGGCAGUAUCUGUUUGAUGAGUUUACCAAAGCGCCCAUGAUCGUGGAGGGCAGGAGACUACGCAUAGAAGCGAAGGAGCGAGUCAAAUCAGUGUUUCAUGCCAAAGAGUUUGGGAAGAUCAUCAAUUUCAAAACUCCAGAACUAGCAAAGUGGGUUCUUGCUAAGCUUGAAGAUGCCAGGGAAAGUCUGCCGAAGUAAGGACAGUUAAAGCAACAUGCGAUGAUCCUGCGCUCUGCUGUGUGCCUUUAUGCUGCUUUUGCAGUGUGCCACUUCACAUUGUACCCACAACGCAACAGUCAUUCACUAAACACUGAAUACCAUGCCGGUAAUGACUGUUAGACUGUGUGUUUUUGUGUUCGGUUUACAUGACACUAUACCUUUCUGUCCCCUCUUAUUGUCUCAUUUACAUCUCAAGUCUUUACAACGUGCCUCUACAUGCAGUUCAACAACUCGAUUCACAUCUCUUAACUAAAGCCACACUAAAGUGUAAAUUAAGGUGUCAUUUUAUACACAGAUAUGAAUAAAGACCAAUUCACUGUAUGUAUUUUAUUUGUCUUUACGUGUGGGAAUGCGUGUUGCAUUUACAGAAAUGACAAGGAAUGUUUGAAAAUGGGAAUCUCUCGUAUUGUAUGUACAGGAGAGCAGGGAUAUUUUUUUAAUAUGUGGCUUUGCAUGAAAUGUCUAUUUAAUUAAUUCUAUAGCUCGUCUUAAUACUCGACAGUAAACACUCUAUGGCUUCUUGACUGCUUUAUGUCUCUAUGCAGCCACGCUGCGUUACUGAAAAACUGUAACAUACUGUAACACAAAUAUGCAAAUGUUUAUUAUUUAGCUUUUCAGUAAAGCUACAGUUGUCCAUUUUCUUAAUGAAUGUCAGUGAGUUGACAUUAAAGAUACAUGAAAUCAAAACUGACCCUAUUUAUUCAUCCUGAUGUCACCGAGGCCUCUUGGGCAACCUGUAAAUGAUCUAAACCAGUAGGCAAAUAACUGCAGCAGCCUUUUGAAGAUCUUAACAAUUGUUAAUGAUGUUAUUUAAAGGAAUAGUUAAAAAAAAAAAAGAAUGUUUACUGGAAGUGUACUCACUCUCAGGUCAUCCAAGAUGUGGAUGAGUUUGUUUCUUAUUGUGAACAGAUUUGGAGAAAUUUAGCAUUUUAUCACUUGUUCACUAACGGAUCCAUUGGAGUGAAUGGGUGCCAUCAGAAUGAGAGUUAAAACACCUGACAAAAACAUCACAAUAGUCCACAAGUAAUCCACACACCACUUCAGUCCAUCAGUUAACAUCUUGUAAAGUGAAAAGCUGCCUGUUUGUAAGAAACAAAUCCAUCAUGAAGAUGUUUUGAAGUUCAAACAAUUGUUUUUGGUCAAAAUAUGAGUCCAUAAUUCAUAAUAAUGCUACGUCCAGUGAAAAAAAGCCCAAAUCUUGUUUUUUUUGGAUUACUUGUGGAUUAUUGUGAUGUUUUGAUCAGCCGUUUGGACUCUUAUUCUGACGGCACCCAUUCACUGCAAUGGAUUCAUUGGUGAACAAGUGACAAAAAGCUUAAUUUUUCCAAAUUUGUUUGUUAAGGUUGAGUUUUUCAUUUUUGGAUGAAUUAUUGCUUCAUCGUUAAUUUAAUACAGGUUAAAGCAAUAAAAACAGCGAUAGAUCUUACAUCAAGCUCAAAUAAAUAUGAUUUCUGGGACAAAAUGUGCAUUUUUUCCACAUGAAACUGCAUAUUCAUUUCAUUGCAAAUAAAAGCAUGAACGUUUAUUGCACGUUCAUUUUCUUGUAAUGUUUAAUUAUGAACAUUUAAUAAAUGUAUUUUGAAUUUU